rnacentral:tRNA from 1 species
AUUUAAAUAGCUUAUUAUAAAGUGUAAUAUUGAAGAUAUUAAGAAAAUUAGAAUUAAUUUUUAAAUA